GACUUGUCCUAUGGGAUGGACAUACUGUGAAUUAGGUCAGAGUAGGAAUACUGUAGCCUUAAGCUGUGUGGAUCAUGUUCAUAGGGUUGCAAGUUUGA
rnacentral:SRP_RNA from 1 species